rnacentral:rRNA from 1 species
UACGGGGGGAGCAAGCGUUGUUCGGAUUUACUGGGCGUAAAGGGCGCGUAGGCGGCGCAACAAGUCACUUGUGAAAUCUCCGGGCUUAACCCGGAGCGGCCAAGUGAUACUGUCGUGCUAGAGUGCGGAAGGGGCUACUGGAAUUCUCGGUGUAGCGGUGAAAUGCGUAGAGCUCGGGAAGAGCAUCGGUGGCGAAAGCGCUCUACUGGACUGCAACUGACACUGAGGGACGAAAGCUAGGGGAGCGAAUGGG